rnacentral:rRNA from 1 species
UUGGUUAAGUUAGAAAGGGCGCACGGUGGAUGCCUUGGCACUAGGAGCCGAAGAAGGACGGGACUAACACCGAUAUGCUUUGGGGAGCUGUACGUAAGCGUUGAUCCAGAGAUUUCCGAAUGGGGGAACCCACUAUCUUUAGUCGGAUAGUAUCCUUACGUGAAUACAUAGCGUGAGGAAGGCAGACCCAGGGAACUGAAACAUCUAAGUACCUGGAGGAAGAGAAAGAAAAAUCGAUUUCCUGAGUAGCGGCGAGCGAAACGGAAAGAGCCCAAACCAAGAAGCUUGCUUCUUGGGGUUGUAGGACACUCUAUACGGAGUUACAAAAGAAAGUUAUAAAUGAAGCGGUCUGGAAAGGCCCGCCAAAGACGGUAACAGCCCGGUAGUUGAAAUGGCUUUCCCUCCAGAGUGGAUCCUGAGUACGGCGGAACACGUGAAAUUCCGUCGGAAUCCGGGAGGACCAUCUCCCAAGGCUAAAUACUCCCUAGUGACCGAUAGUGAACCAGUACCGUGAGGGAAAGGUGAAAAGCACCCCGGAAGGGGAGUGAAACAGUUCCUGAAACCGUGUGCCUACAAGUAGUUAGAGCCCGUUAAUGGGUGAUAGCGUGCCUUUUGUAGAAUGAACCGGCGAGUUACGAUUUGUUGCAAGGUUAAGCGGAAAAAGCGGAGCCGUAGCGAAAGCGAGUCUGAAUAGGGCGCAUAAGUAACAGGUCGUAGACCCGAAACCAGGUGAUCUACCCAUGUCCAGGAUGAAGGUAAGGUAAUACUUACUGGAGGUCCGAACCCACGCACGUUGAAAAGUGCGGGGAUGAGGUGUGGGUAGCGGAGAAAUUCCAAUCGAACUUGGAGAUAGCUGGUUCUCUCCGAAAUAGCUUUAGGGCUAGCCUCGAGGUAAAGAGUCAUGGAGGUAGAGCACUGUUUGGACUAGGGGCCCUUCUCGGGUUACCGAAUUCAGAUAAACUCCGAAUGCCAUGUACUUAUACUCGGGAGUCAGACUGCGAGUGAUAAGAUCCGUAGUCGAAAGGGAAACAGCCCAGACCACCAGUUAAGGUCCCCAAAUAUAUGUUAAGUGGAAAAGGAUGUGGGGUUGCUUAGACAACCAGGAUGUUGGCUUAGAAGCAGCCACCAUUGAAAGAGUGCGUAAUAGCUCACUGGUCGAGUGACCCCGCGCCGAAAAUGUACCGGGGCUAAACAUAUUACCGAAACUGUGGAUGAACCUCUUUAGAGGUUCGUGGUAGGAGAGCGUUCUAAGGGCGGUGAAGUCAGACCGGAAGGACUGGUGGAGCGCUUAGAAGUGAGAAUGCCGGUAUGAGUAGCGAAAGAAGGGUGAGAAUCCCUUCCACCGAAUAUCUAAGGUUUCCUGAGGAAGGCUCGUCCGCUCAGGGUUAGUCGGGACCUAAGCCGAGGCCGAUAGGCGUAGGCGAUGGACAACAGGUAGAGAUUCCUGUACCAGUGCUAAUUGUUUAACCGAUGGGGUGACACAGAAGGAUAGGGAAUCGCACGAAUGGAAAUGUGCGUCCAAGCAGUGAGUGUGAGAAGUAGGCAAAUCCGCUUCUCGCGAAGCAUGAGCUGUGAUGGGGAAGGAAAUUAAGUACGGAAGUUCCUGAUUUCACGCUGUCAAGAAAAGCCUCUAGGAAGAGUAGUACUGCCCGUACCGCAAACCGACACAGGUAGAUGAGGAGAGAAUCCUAAGGUGAGCGAGAGAACUCUCGUUAAGGAACUCGGCAAAAUGACCCCGUAACUUCGGGAGAAGGG